AGUUUCAGCUUCUUGCUUCAGCACUGUUCAAGUCUGGUUCAGAUUUCACCACUCUGGGAUUUUCGGACGUUGACCAUACCUAUGCGCAAAGAACUCAGCUCUUUGAUACGUUAGUAAAUUUCUUUCCUGACAACAUGACUCCUCCUAAAGGCAACCUGGUAGACCUCAUCACACUGUGACAGAAAAAUCACUGGACAUAUGAAAGAAGAAAAAAGCAUCCAUUUUCAGUAUUUUAAUUUUUUUUACUGCAUUGAUUGACUGCUGAGUGCAGUAAUGUAGUGACCCCUGGGUCUUUGAAUGGGGCUUUAUACUUUGUAUAAUGAAUACCUGAGGUUUUUCCCCUUGUUGAAUUAGGCUAAUAAAAUGUAACUGACAUAAA